rnacentral:rRNA from 1 species
AUACGUAGGGGGCGAGCGUUGUCCGGAAUGAUUGGGCGUAAAGGGCGCGUAGGCGGCCUGUUAAGUCUGGAGUGAAAGUCCUGCUUUCAAGGUGGGAAUUGCUUUGGAAACUGGCGGGCUGGAGUGCAGGAGAGGUUAGCGGAAUUCCCGGCGUAGCGGUGAAAUGCGUAGAGAUCGGGAGGAACACCAGUGGCGAAGGCGGCUAACUGGACUGUAACUGACGCUGAGGCGCGAAAGUGUGGGGAGC